AUUGCGUGGGGGAACCUGACCGCCUGCCGCGUGAGUGAUGAAGGCCCUAGGGUUGUAAAGCUCUUUUGUGCGGGAAGAUAAUGACGGUACCGCAAGAAUAAGCCCCGGCUAACUUCGUGCCAGCAGCCGCGGUAAUACGAAGGGGGCUAGCGUUGCUCGGAAUCACUGGGCGUAAAGGGUGCGUAGGCGGAUUUUUAAGUCAGAGGUGAAAGCCUGGAGCUCAACUCCAGAACUGCCUUUGAUACUGGGAAUCUUGAGUUCGGGAGAGGUGAGUGGAACUGCGAGUGUAGAGGUGAAAUUCGUAGAUAUUCGCAAGAACACCAGUGGCGAAGGCGGCUCACUGGCCCGAUACUGACGCUGAGGCACGAAA
rnacentral:rRNA from 1 species